rnacentral:rRNA from 1 species
UGCAUUGAAUCAAAUAGGUGUACGUGGGGAACCGCCUGAACUGAAACAUCUAAGUAGGGCGAGGAAAAGACAUCAACCGAGAUUCCGCUAGUAGUGGCGAGCGAACGCGGAGGAGGCCAAACCGAAGGUAGCAAUAUCUUCGGGGUUACGGACAGACAUCAUGAUUGAGGGACGCUAGACGAACGGCAUGGGAAGGCCGGCGACACAGUGUGAGAGCCACGUAGUCGAAAGCAGAACUUGACAGUCUGGAUCCAGAGUACCGCAGGACACGAGGAACCCUGUGGGAAGUCGGGGGGACCACCCUCCAAGCCUAAAUACUACCUGAUGACCGAUAGAGGAGCAGUACCGUGAGGGAAAGGUGAAAAGAACCCCGGGAGGGGAGUGAAAUAGUACCUGAAACCUUGUGCUUACAAGCAGUCACAGCCCGUUAACGGGUGGUGGCGUACUUUUUGUAGAACGGUCCGGCGAGUUAUAGUCACUAGCGAGCUUAAGGUAUUCAGUACCGGAGGCGUAGGGAAACCGAGUCUGAACAGGGCGUAUGAAGUUAGUGGCCAUAGACCCGAAACCAUGUGACCUAGCCAUGAGCAGGAUGAAGUGGAGGUAAAGCUCCAUGGAGGUCCGAACGCACGUUCGUUGCAAUGACCGGCGAUGACUUGUGGCUAGCGGUGAAAUUCCAAUCGAACUUGGAGAUAGCUGGUUCUCCCCGAAAUAGCUUUAGGGCUAGCGUUGGCAAUGAGUUUCCCGGAGGUAAAGCACUGAAUGAGCUAGGGGGCGCGAGCUUACUGAACUCUAUCAAACUAAGAAUGCCGGAGAAAUGCUUACCAGCAGUCAGACUGCGAGUAAUAAAAUCCGUGGUCAAAAGGGUAACAGCCCAGACCCACAGCUAAGGUCCCCAAUACAUGCUAAGUGGAAAACGAUGUGAGAUCGCAUAAACAACCAGGAUGUUGGCUUAGAGGCAGCCACUCGUUCAAAGAGUGCGUAAUAGCUCACUGGUCGAGUGAUUUUGCGCGGAAAAUUUAACGGGGCUAAGCAUGUAACCGAAGCUUGGGAUUGCGCUUUUGCGCAGUGGUAGGGGAGCGUCGUGUACGGGGUGAAGUCGCACCGGAAGGAGCGGUGGACUGUACACGAGUGAGAAUGCCGGAAUGAGUAGCGAGAAUUAUGUGAGAAUCAUAAUGGCCGAAAAUCUAAGGUUUCUUGGGGAAGGUUCGUCCGCCCAAGGUAAGCCGGGAGCUAAGGCGAGGCCGAAAGGCGUAGUCGAUGCACAUACGGUUGAAAUUCCGUAGCCACCUUAUCGAUUAAAAGCUGACACAUGGAGAUAGCGGGACCCGGGCGUUGGUUGACCCGGGCGAAAGGGACCGAAAUCAAGUAGGGAAGUCCGCGAUGCUCUGUGGCGAGAAAAGGCGAAGGUAAGGUGCCCGUACCGCAAACCGACACAGGUAGAUGAGGAGAGAAUCCUAAGGCCAACGGGAGAAAGGUUGUUAAGGAACUCGGCAAAAUUGCCCCGUAACUUCGGGAGAAGGGGCGCCUCCGAAAGGAGGCCGCAGUGAAAAGGCCCAAGCGACUGUUUACCAAAAACACAGGUCUCUGCUAAAUCGAAAGAUGACGUAUAGGGGCUGACGCCUGCCCGGUGCUGGAAGGUUAAGAGGAGAGCUUAGCGCAAGCGAAGGCUUGAAUUUAAGCCCCAGUAAACGGCGGCCGUAACUAUAACGGUCCUAAGGUAGCGAAAUUCCUUGUCAGGUAAGUUCUGACCCGCACGAAUGGCGUAACGAUUUGGGCGCUGUCUCAACAGCCUACCCGGCGAAAUUGUAGUACCGGUGAAGAUGCCGGUUACCCGCAACUAGACGGAAAGACCCCAUGGAGCUUUACUGCAGCUUAAUACUGAGAUUCGGUAAUUCAUGUACAGGAUAGGUGGGAGACUUGGAAACAGGGGCGUCAGCUUCUGCGGAGUCACCCUUGGGAUACCACCCUUGGAUUGCUGGGUUUCUAACCUGCGGCCAUGAAUCUGGUCGGGGGACACUGUUAGGCGGGCAGUUUGACUGGGGCGGUCGCCUCCUAAAAAGUAGCGGAGGCGCUCAAAGCUUGGCUCAGCAUGGAUGGAAAUCAUGCAAUGAGUGUAAACGUAUAAGCCAAGUUGACUGCGAGACCGACGGGUCGAGCAGGUACGAAAGUAGGAGUUAGUGAU